UACGUAGGUGGCAAGCGUUGUCCGGAUUUAUUGGGUUUAAAGGGUGCGUAGGCGGACUAUUAAGUCAGUGGUGAAAGCCCCAAGCUUAACUUGGGAACUGCCAUUGAUACUGAUGGUCUUGAGUACAUUUGAGGUGGGCGGAAUGUGUCAUGUAGCGGUGAAAUGCUUAGAUAUGACACAGAACACCGAUUGCGAAGGCAGCUCACUAAACUGUAACUGACGCUGAGGCACGAAAGCGUGAGGAGCAAACAGG
rnacentral:rRNA from 1 species